rnacentral:rRNA from 1 species
ACGUAGGGUGCGAGCGUUAAUCGGAAUUACUGGGCGUAAAGCGUGCGUAGGCGGUUUUGUAAGACCGAUGUGAAAUCCCCGGGCUUAACCUGGGAACUGCAUUGGUGACUGCAAGGCUUGAGUACGGCAGAGGGGGAUGGAACUCCGCGUGUAGCAGUGAAAUGCGUAGAUAUGCGGAAGAACACCAAUGGCGAAGGCAGUCCCCUGGGCCUGUACUGACGCUCAUGCACGAAAGCGUGGGGAGCAAACAG